ACUCGUUUUUCUGAAGAACGACAACUUUGAGAUUAAACCUUUGUGGAACGACCUUGCGUCUUUGUCAUUACUCGACGACAUUUACGUUCAAGAACAAAUUAAUCUUUCAUUCGGAAAACCUCACCUUAUUAAAAGAUCACUGCAAUAUUUUGCUAAUUCAAGUCUUUAUCAUUUCGACAAUUUCAAAUCAAAGCAACGUUAUGUACGAAAUACGCAACAGAAAUUAAUCGUAGAAUUGGCCGUUUUCUUCGACAAAUCAGCCACUGAAAAAAACAAAUAUUUUUUACGUUUCCAUUAUGAAAAGUUACGAAAUCUGAUAUUUGCAUACGUAAAUCAAAUCCUUUUGUUUCAUCAUCCGAGUUUGGGUGUUUCCAUCGAUAUUUGGUUGGUACAUUUAGAAAUUAUGCAAGAACAACCGAAAAGUUUGCCAGUUUACGACUUUGAGGAAAUGGAAAUAUUCACUGCUUCGGAAAUACUUUAAUCGUUCUGCAAUUACGCGACUCUCAGUCUUAGGAAAAAGUGUCAUUGGGACCUUGAUCUUUAUAUAACCGGAUUAGAUUUUCCGUUUAGAAGACAAGGUAAUGGUGGAAUUGAAGGAUUUUCCUAUACAGGAAGAUUGUGCAAGGACUGGUCGUCUUGCGCGAUAGCAAAAUUCGGUGCUGUACCUAGAGCAAUACAUUCUGGCUUUACAGCAGCCCGCAUUGCUGCUCAUGAAAUUGCUCAUGUUUUAGGAGCACAUCACGAUGUAGAGAUAGAUGGGAAAUGUAAUAAGAACAAAUACUUGAUGGGCAAUAACUGGCUAAAACGAGGCCAAGUAACAUGGUCAGAGUGUAGUCGUAACCAAAUUGAAAAACUCGACGAAAAGUGUCUUAGAAAUCAGGCGAGAUCGAUAAACCUCGAUGACGCAUAUGCAUUCUAUCAUUUGCGUUAUCACGAUUUACCCGGAAGAGAAUAGACCGCAAAAGCACAAUGCGAAUUACAUUUUCGUGACCAUGAUGCGAACGUAGUCACGUUGCAUGAUAUAUGUGAUACUUUAGAAUGCGAGGUGCCUAGUACGUCCAACGAUAUGACAUCAUAUAAUCGCAUUGGAGCGCCGUUGGAUGGAACUUAUUGUGCACCCAGGAAAGAAUGCCGCGGUGGAAAAUGCGUGCCCGUUCAAGAACCGCCAUAUAUUUUUAAUUAUUAUAGAAAGGAUAAAUGGAGUGAAUGGGAAGUAAGCCCCUGUGAAAGCAGUUGCAUCAGAAAUUCUAAAGGCGUGCAAAUCAGACGACAAUUUUGCGUACACAGGAAUAAAAAAACGGCGAAUUGCAAAGGACCGUAUUACGAUGUUGUUAUGUGCAAUGAUUUCAGCUGUAAUUUUUUCACCAACCCAACAAUUUAUCAGUUUGCUCAGAAAAUGUGCAAUAUAUUCAGCCAAACUAUGAAAAGGUUCAGAGGUCCAACAAUCCAAUUGAAAAAUUGGAUAGAAUCCUCAUGGAAGCAGGCCUCUCAUGAUGUCGAGAAACCAUGGAUAGCCUGCACUAUAUUCUGCCUACUAAAGAAUACAAGUACUUACUACCCAGUACGUGAAAUAAUGUUCGAUUUUGAAGGUUACUCGUACAUUUCGUUUCCAUACUUCCCCGAUGGAACGUGGUGUCACAAAGAUAAAGAUGAUCAGGAUUAUUAUUGCCGGCAGCAUUAUUGUCUUCCGGAAAACUACUCAUUUGAAGAACAAUAUUCGAGAGACUAUCGACAUGUGUGAAGAAGAAUCCUAAGAAAAAAAAAUUACAAAAUGUACAUAAAUUAAUUUACAACCGUUAGUUAAGUUGUUUAGUUGUUGCAGAUUGUUCAUCUGAUAUACAGUCGUACGAAUUGUCAUUAUUAACUUCUGUUUUGUGUAUCGUCCAUUCCUUGCUCGAUGAAAACAAAUGGACGAAGAAUUUGAUCAAAUUAUCGGCAUUUAAAUCAAAUUUCAU
rnacentral:misc_RNA from 1 species